GAUGAACGCUGGCGGCGUGCCUAAUACAUGCAAGUCGAGCGAAUGGAUUAAGAGCUUGCUCUUAUGAAGUUAGCGGCGGACGGGUGAGUAACACGUGGGUAACCUGCCCAUAAGACUGGGAUAACUCCGGGAAACCGGGGCUAAUACCGGAUAACAUUUUGAACCGCAUGGUUCGAAAUUGAAAGGCGGCUUCGGCUGUCACUUAUGGAUGGACCCGCGUCGCAUUAGCUAGUUGGUGAGGUAACGGCUCACCAAGGCAACGAUGCGUAGCCGACCUGGGAGGGUGAUCGGCCAAACUGGGACUGAGAAACGGCCCAGACUCCUACGGGAGGCAGCAGUAGGGAAUCUUCCGCAAUGGACGAAAGUCUGACGGAGCAACGCCGCGUGAGUGAUGAAGGCUUUCGGGUCGUAAAACUCUGUUGUUAGGGAAGAACAAGUGCUAGUUGAAUAAGCUGGCACCUUGACGGUACCUAACCAGAAAGCCACGGCUAACUACGUGCCAGCAGCCGCAGUAA
rnacentral:rRNA from 1 species